rnacentral:lncRNA from 1 species
CAGCCUCUCAGAGGGAAAGAGCCCUGGACUGGGACACAGUGGAAGCUCAUUCUCCUGGUGACCCGGGGACAUUGCCUCAUUAUGGAUCCUGGCAGGGGUGGCUACUCUGGCUGAUUUUGGUGCAUUUUUCAUUUCCCAGAAGGCAGGACAGGCCUCAGUGUGAGCAGGAAGGAAAUGGAACCGUCAAUCUUGUUAGAGAGGGUGUCUGGGUGAAAAGCUUGGUGAAAGAUUUUAAGGACUUCCCAUUGGCUGAAGGCUGGCAAAUGGAGUUUGCUAUCCUCUGACUGCAGCCAUUCUGAGGACUGGAAAGAAUACCCUGAGAAGGGGCCUAUUUUAUUUCUGCAGGAAGGCUUUCACAAGCUCCAAAAGAUUCACCGUGCAGAACUGGACGUUCUAGAGAAAGACCACGCCUCCUCCUGCAGGUUUUCACAAGCUCCAAAAGAUUCACUGUGCAGAACUGGAGGUUCUAGAGAAAGACCACGCCUCCUCCUGCAGUAUUUUGUCAUGGCAGCCCUAGCAAACUACUACAGGGACUGUGGGGGUUAGGAUGACACCAAGCAUCAAAUGCCACUCCCUGUUCCAACACUGAGACCAUUCCACAGCCCCUGAAUGACAAGACAGGCCUUCAAGCUCAAGACUACUUGGCUAGGUGAAAAGCUUGGUGAAGGAUUUUAAGGACUUCCCAUUGGCUGAAGGCUGGCAAAUGGAGUUUGCCAUCCUCUGACUACAGCCAUUCUGAGGACUGGAAAGGAUACCCUGAGAAGUGGCCUAUUUUAUUUCUGCUGGAAGCUGGAUGCUUCCUGCCCUCGAAAAUCAGACUCCAAGUUCUUCAACUCUGGGACUCGGACCUUUGAACACAGACUGAAGGCUGCACUGUCGGCUUCCUUACUUUUGAGGCUUUGGGACUUGGACUGACUUCCUGGAUCCUCAGCUUGCAGAUGGCCUAUUGUGGGACCUCACCUUGUGAUCACGUGAGUCAGUGCUCCUUAACAAACUCCCCUUUGUAUAUACAUCUAUCCUACUACUUCUGUCACUCUAGAGAACCUUGACGAAUACGGUUAUGCAUUUUUAUUAAUGUAAAUUAUGCCUUAAUUAACAAUAAAUACCUUCUCAACCUCCAAAAAGAGACUUUCUGUCUGAAACUUGAGAAUAAGUCUAAAGUUUUCAUUUAAUAAUGAAUUUGUAAAAGACAGGAAAAUUGAUUUUGGCAUUAAUUUGUUCAACAAAUAUCUGUUGAGCAUGUCCUAUGUGGCAGAGGCUGAGUGUGGGGUGUGGAGUGGGUGAAUGUAAGGAACAUAUAGUUCCUGGCUCCCUAGAGCUUAUUAUGGUCUAGGGGUUGGAGAGAAUUGGUACAUUGGGAUUUUAAAGGGGGUGCCAAAAGUGGUGAUGACAAAGUUCAGGGAAGAACAACUGGAGUGGAGGGAGGGCAUC